AGAACCACAGCACAGACUCUCCAAAGAGAAGCCAGGCCAAGAAGAAUCCCAGGACUGGAAGGCCUUGUGGGACGUCCCAGGGCAUUCAUCUACUAUGUGUUUAUUGCACCCUUUUUCCAUGUGAGGCACAUGCCAGGGACUGGGCACAUGGUAUGAACAAGACACAGGUCAUCGGUGUCCUCUUGAGCUCCCUGGCUUGGCAGCAGAUGCAUACCUGGGAAGGAUGCUAGGUCAUCCGGGAACUCUACCUCCUUCAAAUCCCUAAGGACUGUGCUCCCAAUCCGCUUACGCUCAAGGAAGAACUG
ensembl:lncRNA VIPR1-AS1 VIPR1 antisense RNA 1